GGUUUGUGGGGUGGCUUGUGCGGAGGAGUUGGCAGCUUCUUUCCAGGACCUGGUUGCUUCUCUGCUGGAGUUGAAGGAGGCUUAAUCUUCCGAGGUGGCUUGUAUGAGUCUUCAGCAUUCUCAGCUGGAGGGUGACCAGGGUUGUGACCAUAAUGUGGUGGCUUCUCUCCCUUAGGUGGUUUGCCAACUGGGGUUGGUGGCUUGUAUGAGUCUUCAGCAUUCUCAGCAGGAGGGUGACCAGGGUUGUGACCAUAAUGUGGUGGCUUCUCUCCCUUAGGUGGUUUGCCAACUGGGGUUGGUGGCUUGUGUUCUGGGAGUGGCUUCUCCCCCUUGGGAGGUUUUUCCAAUGGGGUUGGUUUGUGUUCAGGAGGUGGCUUCUCCACUGGAGGCUUGUGUUCAGGAGGUGGCUUCUCCACCGGAGGCUUGUGUUCAGGUGGUGGCUUCUCCACCGGAGGCUUAUGCUCUGGUGGUGGCUUCUCGAAUGGGGGAUGCUUAGGAUAAUCAGCAAGUGAGGGGGCGGUGAGAACCACCAGGCCAAGCAACACCACUAGCAAAUAUGUAGGAGACAUCUUUGGGUUUGGGCUCAGAUGGUGCAAAACUAGGAGAAUUGGCUAGCCUUUUAUAGCGGAUCGUACCCAAUAAUGAAAUGACACGUGUCAUUAUGACCCAUGUGUAAUGGGGUCGAUUUGGGUCCUACAGUGUUGAAAACUUCGACAUCCACUUUUGGCCUUUUGCUUUCUCUACAGCCGCCUUGCUUUUUCCCUCUUUCCUUUUGUUUUCCUCCUGCCCCAUUCUAUCAACUAAACACAAUUAUGUAGUUGUUUAAUUCUUAAAUGAGAUAUUAUCCGUCAAUCGUAUUAUAUUUUAUCAAGAGAGAACGGAGUGCAAUGUGGCUGUAAUUUUAUCGUUUAGUUUUAUCUCUUGGACCACUGCAUUUUUGUUAAGAGGUGCAAUAAUACACGUCUUUAUCUGCCAUUCAAUAUUUACAGUAAAGAGAGGGCACAAAACUCUUCACUUCGCACCAUAAUUAUUUUGUUUUCUGGACACCCCGGGGCCCUUUGGUUGGUUUGGGGGUCAGAAAGUGAACAUCAUAGGGGGUUUUUCCCUUAUGUGCAUUUGUAUCUGAUGGCUUUAACUCGCCUUGUUACUACAAAGAAACUGUCACAGAUAGGAACUUAUUCCAGGCUGAGUAUCUCCUCAUAGACCCUAUAAAAGAAGACAAGUCAUAAUGAACAUCUAACCUUUGUUCAAUUUGAUUCAAUGCCCCCAUUGUGUCCAUCUCACAAAUCUGAAUUAUUAUAUCCAUUGAAUACAUAAAUUAAUGAAGAAAAUAUGAAACCCAAGAUACAUCUCUGCACAACCUCAACCCUGGUUGCUAUGUUUCCCUUCUAUUCACAUGAUUUGAUGCUAAUUGCCAAACUUGCAACAAGCCCUGAGUUUGACACCUAGUAUCGAUGGGCGAAUUUAAAGUCUCCUCCAAACAUAUAUUCCACAGCUUGAAGCUCACAGAAGAUGUUACAGGCAGGGAAAAACCUUCAGAGUUCGCUACCAAAGAUAAUUAUUAAGGAGAUAUCACAAAGAGAAUUCCAAGGGGUCUGAAUCAAAGACAAAUUGGUCGUUCGUGGGGGUUCUUACUUUCUUUUGGGUAUAACUCACUGAGGGCACUGUCUUUGUUAUUUGCAUUUCACAUUUAGAGUUCUGUUCUGGAAACAUAUAAAAGGAGCAUCAUUUUGUUCUUGGGUAACCCAUAGUCGUGAGUGGGUCCAUUUGCAUGCUACUUAGUUGAAAAGUUGGACCAUUUGCUCCGACGCCUACCUCCCGGAUUCCAUGCUCGGAUAAAACAAGAAUAAAAAAAAUAUUUAUAAUUUACAAAUGGGGGAAAGAAAAAAAUGUCAACAACAAACCAGGAAAAAAGAGUAGUAAAAUUCAUGUCACAUGCUAGUGAGAGAAGGGGUUGUUACACUCACUCGAAGUUCUUUCCAAAAUAUCGCAUGGUAUUUUAUUUUAUGUGUCAGCGCAGUUGUGAAUGGAACGUGCAAAAGUCCAAAUUGGCGUUUUUCCUUUUCCCGUGUAGGAUGGCGACCUUUAAUAAAUAUUUAAAACAAAAAACGAAAAAAAGGAGGGAAAAGGGAUCAGAAAAGAUAAAACAAUGUGUACAAGAGCUCAAUUAGUUUGCAAAUUACUGUUUGGAUUUUGAUAGUAUUUUAUUUGUCCAUCUAUAUUUGAUGGAAAAGAGAAUUUAAGAUAUUUCUGAAACAAAAGCAUUAGUGUAAAACUAAAUUAAGGUAUAAUUAAGUUAGUUCAAUGCAUUAAUUUAAGAAACUUGAUCUAUCCAAAGUACAAAAUUAGAUGAAAUCCAUUUCAAUGGUUAAAAUGAUCAAAAUCAAACUUUUUCUAAGUAUUUUUUAAAAGCAUCAAUAUUAAAAGACAAUUUUAUAUUUAGUCGGAGUUUGGACAAAACCAAAAAGCACACAAAAUCCAAGCGACCAUCUCUAGCUUGGAUAGUCACUUGAUCCCACCUAGAGAUGUGCAUGAGUAAAAGGAUUUGAAAAUGGAAAUUGACUAAAUAUUUAGUUGAUCAAUUAAAUUUGCAAUGUCAUAUGCAAUCCUAAUAGCUAGUCAUCUAAUCAAUUAGGUAGUCAAUCAAGUGUUUGUAAUGACUAUUUUGUACAAAAAACCACAUGUAUAGUUAAAUAUAAUGCAUUUCAUUUAUAAAUCUUCUAAUUCUUGAAUAACGAUCCUAUCAUCCUUUGAAAAUUUUUAUUACACCUUUUUUACUUUUGUUCUAAAACUUACAUAUCACCCUUAAUUGUACCAUGAGAACCUAGCUAUUUUUUUUUUUUUUGUAAUUCAUCAAAGUUAGCUUUUGUAUUCAUUGUUGUAUUAUUUUUAGUAUAACUUAGAAAGCUAGUGUUUUCAAGUGAGUAAAAUUAACUUGUAAAUAUUGUAAAGAUUCAUUGAUAUGUAUCUUAAACUAAGUGUACAAAUUAAAACAUUUGCUAGUAGAUUUUCUCAAAAUUUAGAAUAGAGCUUGAGGCUAUUGAAAUAGGUGGGGUUACACCAAACCACAUCACAUCGUUGUUUGCACCUUUUUUCACUCUCUUUUACUUAGUUUCUCUAUAUUUGUUGUCUAGUAAUAUCCUAUAGGCUUGAUGGGUUAGGGAGCAUCCCUUUGUGAAAAAAUUUCAUUCAAUUCUUAGUUGUAUUACGCAUAUAUAAAAUGCCUCAUUGUUUUAAUGGUAUUCAGUCGUGGCAUCACAGAUAUGGGCAUCUAAAUUUUAAAAGUUUGAAACUUUUGUAAAGCAUGUUGAUAAAAUCCAUGAGAGUUGUGUACUUGGGAAGCAACAUCGAGGUGACUUUAUUUUUUUUUCCUUUUAUAAUGCCACACCUAAGUCCGGUUUCUAAAUGCUAAAGUGAAAGGGUAGGUAUGGACCAUUGAAAUGUGAUCACAACUUUUGGCCUUUUCCUUUCUCUGCAGCCAUGUUGUCUCUUUUUUCUUUUGCAUGAUUUUCUUACCAAAACAGAAUCAUAGACUUGUUUAGUCUCUAAGCUACUAUAUUAUAUCUCGGUGGACUUUUAAGAGUGCAACCGACAUAGAGCACAUGCAAGUGGGCAUAUGGGACAUGAAAUUUCUUCUUACAAAGAUUGCAUGAUUUUUAUAUUAGAGUUGUUCACGUGCAAUGUAUUUAGCUUGUUUUGCAGUUAAAUUAAUUGGAUAAGUAAACAUUGGCAUUUCUAAAUCGACUGUGAAGUGCUUCAUGUACGUGUAAAGUAUUAGAAAUUUCUUUCUUGGCAACUUGUUUUUUCCUUGCCAUCUACUGGUAGGUUUGACUAAAAUUAUAUUCCCUGUCAUGCUAAUUAAUUUUCAUGUGCAUGCUCAAAAGAAGAGUAUGACCUUAGUGCACCAAAAUCACUUUGAUUAAUUUGUGAUAGGUUUUUUUGCAUCAUUUAGAUAAUGUUUAGUUCUAAGAAAAAUUUAUAUAAAAAUGGUUUAUUUAUCUUACAUAUAUAUAUAUAUAUAUAUAUUUUUUUUUUUUUCAUUUUUUUUUCUUCUAUUUUAUUUAUUUAUUUUAUUUUCCUUAUGUUUUCCUCACAUUUUCCGGAACUAAACAUAGUCUUACGAAAUCAACAAUUGCCUUCAACUGAGUAGAUUCUGUUGUUUUAGCAAUGUUAGGCUGCUAACUUGUGGUGGUACGAACCAAAUGACCCAUGUUAAUCUUGGCUUGGUUUGAUUUGGCUCUAUCUCAGAGAGCUAAAGGAUCACGUCAACUCUGGUUUCUACUAUUCAGGUCCAUUCCCAGAUGAACUGGUUCAAAUUUGAGAAAAUGGUAACAGACCUUUAGUGAUGUUGGUUUGGAGCCAGUUGCCAAACCCGCCCUGAGCUUUACCACUAAUGUCAAGGGAGAAAGCCAUUUGAACAAAAACAAUAGCUUCAAGAGACUGAAUCGUGGAUGAAAUCUGAUCCACAUUUCUUCUCAUUUUGGGAAAAAAUGAGAACUUAACUACAAAGAUUCUACUGCCUCAUUCAUAGUGCUUUUCCUGAUCCAAGGUUGGUUCGUUUCCCAAAUUGUGAGGUGCACGUGCCACUCUCACGCUCAGGAGUGUAUCCACGUGGUGGACAUCAGAUGGUGGCUUAAUAUCUGGUGUCGGUGGCUUUACUUUACUAGGAGAGUAGUGUGUCUUCAUCUCAUUCACUGCCGGAGGGUGGCGUAAGCAGUGACGCUAAGGUGGGGCACAGUCAAUAUCAUUUGCAUUUGACCAUUAUAGUUUUCUCCCGGCUUGAAAGUAACCUUAUCGUGAUAAAGGAUUACUAGCACUAGUUCAGAUGACCGUCAUGUUAAUUCGGACCAUGUUUGUGUCACAUUAUCAGCAACCAUGUGUUUAUGGUUCAUGCUAUCUGCAACUAAACUUGAUAUAUAACCAGGUGAACUUCAAUCAAAAUUCUGGAAGUACUCUUGUGAUAGAUGGUGCCUGUCUGCAGAGUCCAUCAAUUGAAAAAUGGAGUGAGUGUAUCUAUAAGAGGGAAGGCUUGGCAAAUGUUCAGUUUUCUGGGAAUUCAACAAGGAUCUAAAAUAGAUUGUUUUCUUUGCCGACUUCAAUGGUUGAAAUUUGAGAAGAUUGUGUCCACAUAUCACAACUAUUACUGGUCCUUCUGUUGCAAUUUAUCCUGUAAGGCUCUAACAUGUCUUCCAAUUCCCACUUCCCUGUUACUCCAGGAAAGCUAUUUCUGUCAUUGUGAAGAAGAAAAGAGAAUGUACAUAUCGAUGCUUUUAAGUGACUGGAGCAUUCAUAUCAGGUGGUCUGCAGCCAUAUAUGCCACUUUGUGAAGGUUGGAACAGUCAAUCACUAGGCUAUAUAUUGGUGUGGCCCAGCCACUUCAAUCAAGGACAAGUCUUCAUACUUAAAGUCAAAUUCUGCCUUUAGUCUCAUUAUAAAUUGCUGUUUAAAUAUUAAGCAAACUUUUGUUUAAUGCGAUUAAGACAGUACUAACUCAAUACUUGUUCUAUUUUUGGAUGCAAAUGCUUGAUGGUUUCAUCAUUGGAUGGGAUAAAGGUGCAUUCAUGAUUAUGAAUACUUGUAGUUAUAUUUUCAUUCUCUUUUUUCUCAAUGAGACUUGUUGGCACAAUGUUGCUGUUCAGAAACCUACCUCUCCAUGGAAAAUAAGUUGCGAUUGAUAGUACUGGAUAUGUUCAAGAAAGCUAAAUAUAGAUAGCACAAAAUAUUAUCGAUAUAAAUAGCAUUAACAGCGUACGUAUGUCUCAAUGCUCAUCAGCUAUAAGCAUGGGACAAACACUUACUAUGAGCAACUUACGUCAAAAUUCCAGAAUAGGACAUAGAAGUGACAGAUCUAUAUAUAUAGAACACUGCAUAUGAGUCACAAGAAAGGAAAUUACGGGUGCAUAGCAGCUCUUAUUUUACAUACUACUACUCAUACUGAUCAAAGUCACUCAGUUGGGAUGGGUGGGAGUAGGAGGUUUGUGGGGUGGCUUGUGCGGAGGAGUUGGCAGCUUCUUUCCAGGACCUGGUUGCUUCUCUGCUGGAGUUGAAGGAGGCUUAAUCUUCCGAGGUGGCUUGUAUGAGUCUUCAGCAUUCUCAGCUGGAGGGUGACCAGGGUUGUGACCAUAAUGUGGUGGCUUCUCUCCCUUAGGUGGUUUGCCAACUGGGGUUGGUGGCUUGUAUGAGUCUUCAGCAUUCUCAGCAGGAGGGUGACCAGGGUUGUGACCAUAAUGUGGUGGCUUCUCUCCCUUAGGUGGUUUGCCAACUGGGGUUGGUGGCUUGUGUUCUGGGAGUGGCUUCUCCCCCUUGGGAGGUUUUUCCAAUGGGGUUGGUUUGUGUUCAGGAGGUGGCUUCUCCACUGGAGGCUUGUGUUCAGGAGGUGGCUUCUCCACCGGUGGCUUGUGUUCAGGAGGUGGCUUCUCCACCGGAGGCUUAUGCUCUGGUGGUGGCUUCUCCACCGGAGGCUUAUGCUCUGGUGGUGGCUUCUUGAAUGGGGGAUGCUGAGGGUAAUCAGCAAGUGAGGGGGCGGUGAGAACCACCAGGCCAAGCAACACCACUAGCAAAUAUGUAGGAGACAUCUUUGGGUUUGGGCUCAGAUGGUGCAAAACUAGGAGAAUUGGCUAGCCUUUUAUAGCGGAUCGUACUCAAUAAUGAAAUGACACGUGUCAUUAUGACCCAUGUGUAAUGGGGUCGAUUUGGGUCCUACAGUGUUGAAAACUUCGACAUCCAGUUUUGGCCUUUUGCUUUCUCUACAGCCGCCUUGCUUUUUCCCUCUUUCCUUUUGUUUUCCUCCUGCCCCAUUCUAUCAACUAAACACAAUUAUGUAGUUGUUUAAUUCUUAAAUGAGAUAUUAUCGGUCAAUCGUAUUAUAUUUUAUCAAGAGAGAACGGAGUGCAAUGCAGCUGUAAUUUUAUCGUUUACUUUUAUCUCUUGGACCACUGCAUUUUUGUUAAGAGGUGCAAUAAUACACGUCUUUAUCUGCCAUUCAAUGUUUACAGUAAAGAGAGGGCACAAAACUCUUCACUGCUCUGCAUGUGUCCCAAAAAUGCGAUUGGACAAAUUAUGAUUUGCAUGCUAAAAAGAGGCAAAUGAGGUUAAUUCGCACCAUAAUUAUUUGGUUUUCUGGACACCAUAAAAAGAUGUUAUACAGGCAGGGAAAAACCUUCAGAGUUAGCUACCAAAGAUAAUUAUCAAGCAGAUAUCACCAAGAGAAUUCCAUAGAGUCUGAAUCAAAGACAGAUUGCUCGCUCGUGGGGGUUCUUACUUUCUUUUGGGUAUAACUCACUGAGGUCACUGUCUUUUUUAUUUGCAUUUCACAGUUAGAGUUCUGCUCUGGAAGGUUUGUUCUGGAAACAUAUAAAAGGAGCAUCAUUUUGUUCUUGGGUAACCCAUAGUCGUGAGUGGGUCCAUUUGCAUGCUACUUAGUUGAAAAGUUGGACAAUUUGCUCCGACGCCUACCUCCUGGAUUCCAUGCUCGGUAAAACAAGAAUAAAAAAAAAUAUAUAAUUUACAAAUGGGGGAAAGAAAAAAUGUCGGAAAAAAUAGUAAAAUUCAUGUCACAUGCUAGUGAGAGAAGGGGUUGUUACACUCACUCGAAGUUCUUUUCAAAAUAUCGAAUGGUAUUUUACUUUAUGUGUCAGCGCAGUUGUGAAUGGAACGUGCAAAAGUCCAAAUUGGCGUUUUUAUUUUUCCCAUGUAGGAUGGUGACCUUUAAUAAAUAUUUAAAACAAAAGACGAAAAAAAAAAGGAGGGAAAAGGGAUCACAAAAGAUAAAAUAAUGUUUACAAAAGCUCAAUUAGUUUGCAAAUUACUGUUUGGAUUUUGAUAGUAUUUUAUUUGUCGUUCUAUAUUUGAUGUAAAAGAGAAUUUAAGAUAUUUCCGAAGCAAAAGCAUUAGUUUGCUCUGUGAUGUCCCACAUCGAAUAGGGGAGAAAGUUUCUGGCGCUAUAUAUGUAGAGGCUCCUCUUAACCAAGUAGAUGCGUUUUAAAACCAUGAGGGCCCCCUUAGGUCCAAAGCGGACAAUAUCUACAUGAUUGGGUGUAAGUCAUUACAAAUGGUAUCAGAGCCGAUCCCCGACCCCGGUGUGGGGGUUUGUUUGGCCCUGUAAGGGGUGUUUGUCUGUUUGACCCCACAAUCCCAUGGGACACAACGAGGACGUUGUGUCUGCAUGGGGGGGCGUUUGUGAUGUCCCACAUCGGAUAGGGGAGAAAGUUCCUAGUGCUAUAUAUGUAGAUGUUUCUCUUAACCAAGUAGAUGCAUUUUAAAAUUGUGAGGGCCUCUUUGGGCCCAAAGCGGACAAUAUCUACAUGGUUGAGUGUAAGUCAUUACAUGCUCCAUGUCAAUUUCAGCAUUUCUCAUAUGUUUCACACAUACACAGAAGAGCAUCGUUUUUUAAAGCAUGCAUUUAUGUUGGAUUAAUUUGGAUUUUGUGGGAACUGGGGCAAGGAUCACAUGGAAGAGAGGUUGACUUUUUUCAGUACUUCAAUGGUUGAAAUAUGUGAAGGCUUGAUUGAUACUAAAGCUUGAAAUUGCGACUCUGUCAUUUGUAAAAAAAUAUGACAGCUUCCAUGCUCUCGUUUGGUUGCAUUGUCCGGUCGAGAGGUGCAAAAAGCAUUCUCUCUCUUCUAAUAGUCUUUUCGUUUAAAUCAAGGGAUUUGCCUUCCCGGUCGAGGUCCAAUAGAGGGUAACGGUCACCUACUAAACAUUAAAUGCUCCAACAACUAGUGAACUGAUCGACCCCAGCUCGACUAGUUGAGGUUACUUUUUGGUUUUCUUGUCUCCCGAGGUUAGAAACCUAUAAAUAGAGAGCUUCACUUCAUUUAUGAGUAAGAGAACACCUAAAUUUAUUUGUUUACCUACUUGUUUUUGCCAUAAAAGCUCUCAUUUCUUUUCUUGGUGUAUUAAAUCUCCAUUUGCAUAUCCUUUAGUGCACCUUUGUGAUUCAUUCUAGCCUUGAGUUGUAUUUAAGCCUUUGUUGAGCUAGGUUGAGAGUUUCAUACUUGUUUAUUGAGUGUUAAAGCCUUCAAGUGAGUUAAAACUUGAAGAGAUUGUGUAAGAGCCCAUUGGAGUCGGAAUCCAAGUGUAAAGGUGAUUAAAAGCUUGGUUGAAGCUUCAAGUUAGUGGAACUCUCACUCGGUUAUGAGCUUGAGAAGAGUGGACAUAGACAAGGCAGUGUCGAACCACUAUAAAAUCUGAGUUUGAUUUCUCUAACCUUAUCUCUUUAUAUUUGCUUCUCUUGUGCUUAAAUUUUUUGUGUUUAAAAAGAAUUUUUAAAAACUCAAUUCACCCCCUUCUUGGGAGUUUUUCUCUUUUAAGAUCAGCUUUUAUUUUCUCAAUUGGUAUCAGAACUAUGCCUCUUGUUUAAGACUUAAUCGUCUAAGAGGAAAUGGCUAAUCCAUCAAGUUCAUCUCACAUUGAAAGUUUUGCAACCAAUAGACUUCUUUUUUUUUUUUUGCGGGAACUGAUUAUCCCUAUUGGAAAACUAAAAUGACUUGGUUUUUACAAUCAAUUGAUUUAGAUGUAUGAGAUGCCAUUGAAGAUGACCUAACUUUUCCUUCAAAACUAGUUGAUGGAGUCAUGGUUCCAAAACCUAAGCAAGAAUGGGAUGAGCGUGAUUGAAGAAAUUUUCAAUUAAAUGCUAAAGUCGUUUAUACUUUGCAAUGCUCUAUGGACAGAAAUGAAUAUAAUAGAAUAUGUCAAUGCAAAUCGGUUAAAGAAAUUUGGAGAUUGCUUGAAAUAACUCAUAAAGGAACAAAUCAAGUUAAAGAGUCAAAAAUCAAUUUACUUGUUCAUAGAUAUGAAUUGUUUUUUAUGAAAGAUAAUGAAACUAUUGUUAAGAUGAUCACUAGGUUCACCAACAUUGUUAAUGGUCUUAAAGCCUUGGGAAAGACCUACAAGGAAUCCGAAAACGUGAUGAAGAUCUUGAGGUCACUUCCAUCAAAGUGGCAUACCAAGGUCACCGCAAUUUAAGAAGCAAAAGACUUGAUCAAGCUACCUUUGGAGGAGUUCAUAGGGUCAUUGAUGACAUAUGAAAUCAAUUUGGCAAAGAAGUAACAAAAAGGUGAAGACAAAAAGAAGAAGAACAUAACUCUCAAAGCUACAACUAAGGAAGAAGAAGUUGAAGAAGAAAAACAAAUUGAAGAAGAUGAAGAUUUAGCCCUCAUCACAAGAAAGUUCAACAAAUUCAUGAGGGGUGAAAGGUUUAGAAGAAGAAGGUUCACUUCUAGAAGAGACUUUUCUAAAAAGGAAUCUUCAUCUAAUGGUGACAAAAAGAGAUGGGAAGAGAAAAGAGACUUGGUGUGUUUCAAGUGCAAGAAACCGGGACACAUUAAAUAUGAUUGUCCUCUCUACAAAAGUGAAGUCAAGAGGAAAAAGAAUAAGGCAAUGAUGGCCACUUAGAGUGAAAGUGAAGAUGAAUCAUCCGAAGAAGAAAAUGAGAAAGAAGUGGCAAACAUGUGUUUCAUGGCAAUAGAUGAACUUGAUGAGGUAAAAUCUAACCUUAGUGAUUAAGAUAUACAUGAUGCAUUUGAAGAAUUGUAUGAGGAUUUUUAAAAACUUAGUUUGAAAAAUAUUUCUCUUAAAAAGAAAGUUCAACAACUUGACAAAGAACUUAGAGAAGUAAAAGAAAAAUUUUCAAAUGUUAAAGUUUCUAAAACUCAUCUUGAAAAAGAAAAUGAGAUUCUAAGAAAGAAAAAUGAAUAGUUGAACUCCUCUCUUUCAAUCUUUUCUUCUAGACAAAAAUCUUUUGAAAUGAUUCUAACUAGCUAAAAAUGUGUUUUUGACAAACAAGGGUUAAGAUUUAAAUCUUCAAAAAAUCAAAAGUAUUUUAAAAACUAUUUUGUAAAGGAAUCCACAAGUGCAAGUCCUUCCACUACUUGCAACUUUUGUGGAAGAGAAUGGCACAUUAGUAGUACGCCCUUUAAGAAAUGGUUCUCAAAAGAAUUUAAAUGCAAAAACUAAAAAAGAUUUGGAUUGAGAAAUCCAAGGUCACUAACCCUCAAGGACCCAAAAAGAUAUAGGUACCUAAAUCAACUUGAGUUUUAUGUUGUAAGGUUCAAAGAAUGAUAAGUGGUUCUUAGAUAAUGGUUGCUCAAGACACAUGACCGGAGAUGAAUCCAAGUUUGCUUUUCUUAAAAAGAAAAAUGGAGGAUAUGUUACCUUUGGAGACAAUGCAAAAGAAAGGAUGAUUGGUCAAGGCAACAUUGGUAAUGGCACAUCCUCUCUCAUUGAAAGUGUUUUAUUAGUAGAUGGUUUCAAACAUAACCUUUUAAGCAUUAGUCAAUUUUGCGACAAAGGUUUUUAAGUGAUUUUUUAAGCAUCUCAUUGCAUCAUCAAGGAUAUUCAAAAUGAUAAAACCAUUUUCAUGGGCCAUAGAUGUGAUAAUGUUUAUGCUAUAAAUAUUUCAAAAUAUGAUGGCCAUGAUAGAUGUUUUUCAAGCAUGCAUGAUCAAAGUUGGUUGUGCCAUAGGAGAUUGAGACAUGCUAACAUAGACCUCAUUUCCCAACUCAACAAAGAUGAACUUGUUAGAGGCCUUCCCAAAAUAAUUUUUUAAAAAGAUAAAGUUUGUGAAGCUUGUCAAGUGGGAAAGUAAAUCAAAAACUCUUUUAAAAACAAAAACUUCAUUUCCACAUCUAGGCCACUUGAGUUGUUGCAUAUGGAUUUAUUUGGUCCCUCUAGGACACCAAGUCUUAGAGGAAAUUCUUAUGCAUAUGCUAUUGUGGACGACUUCUCUAGAUACACAUGAGUCUUGUUUUUUAGUCAAAAGAAUAAAGUUUUUUAUGAGUUUUCAAAGUUUUGCAAUAAGAUUCAAAAUGAAAAAGGUUUUUCAAUUACUUAUAUAAGAAGUGAUCAUGGGAGAGAAUUCGAAAAUAUUGAUUUUGAAGAGUAUUGCAAUGAGCAUGGAAUUGACCACAAUUUUUUGGCUCUUAGAACUCCUCAACAAAAUGGGGUAGUUGAAAGGAAAAAUAGAACUCUUCAAAAAAUGACAAGAACCAUACUAAAUGAAAACAACUUACCAAAAUAUUUUUAGGCCAAAACGGUUAACACUUCUUGUUAUGUUUUAAAUAGAGUAUUAUUGAGGCUCAUACUUAAGAAAACUCCCUAUGAGCUUUGGAAAAACAAAAAACCCAACAUUAGUUAUUCCAAAGUCUUUGGAUGCAAUAUUUUAUAAUAAACACCAAAGACAAUCUUGGAAAAUUUGAUGCAAAAUUGGAUGUUGGAAUUUUCCUUGGUUACUCAACUUCAAGUAAAGCUUUUCGAGUUUUAACAAAAGAACCAUGGUUGUAGAGGAGUCCAUCCAUGUUAUUUUUUAUGAAUCUCCAAGAAAGAGAGAGGAUUGAUGAUGAUUUAGGUUUGAAGACCUCUAUAGGAAGAUUGCAAAUCGAAGAUAGAAGACAACAAGAAGAAAAUGGAGAGAAUCCAAAGAAAGAAGGAUCACCAUUGGCACUACCCCCUCAUCAACAAGCGCAAGGUGAAUCAAGUCAAGAGCUUCCUAAAGAAUGGAAGUUUGUCAUCAAUCACCCACAAGAUCAAAUUAUAGGCAAUCCAUCUAGUGGGGUAAGAACUAGAUCCUCUCUUAGAAAUAUUUGCAAUAAUCUAGCUUUUAUCUCUCAAAUUGAGCCUAAAAAUAUAAAUGAUGUUUUAGAUGAUGAAAAUUGGAUAAUUGCAAUGCAAGAAGAGUUAAAUCCAUUUGAAAGAAGUGGAGUAUGGGAAUUAGUACCAAGACCUUCAAAUCAAAGUGUUAUUGGAACUAGAUGGAUCUUUAGAAAUAAAAUGGAUGAAAAUAGCAUAAUUGUUAGAAAUAAAGCAAGAUUGGUAGCCCAAGGUUUUAAUCAAGAAGAAAUGAUAGAUUAUGAAGAAACCUUUGCCCCCGUAGCUAGGUUGGAAGCCAUUAGGAUGCUACUUGCCUUUGCAUGUUUUAAAGACUUUGUUUUAUAUCAAAUGGAUGUGAAAAGUGCUUUUUUAAAUGGUUUUAUAAAUGAAGAAGUAUAUGUUGAACAACCACCCGGUUUUCAAAGUUUCAACUUUCCUAACCAUGUUUUUAAACUUAAAAAGACACUUUAUGGUUUGAAACAAGCACCUAGAUCAUGGUAUGAAAAAUUGAGUAAAUUUCUUUUGAAAAAAAUGUUUUAAAAUGGGAAAAAUUGACACAACUCUUUUUAUAAAAACCAAAGAAAAUGAUAUGCUCUUAGUUCAAAUAUAUAUUGAUGAUAUCAUUUUUGGUGCUACUAAUGUCUCUCUUUAUGAAGAAUUUUCUAAGUGCAUGCAUAGUGAGUUUGAAAUGAGCAUGAUAGGAGAACUCAACUUCUUCCUUGGACUUCAAAUCAAGCAACUAAAGGAAUGAACCUUCAUCAAUCAAGCAAAGUAUAUAAGAGAUCUUCUCAAAAGGUUCAACAUGGAAGAAGCCAAAACAAUGAAGACUCUAAUGAGCUCAUCCAUUAAGCUUGAUAAGGAUGAGAAAGGUAAAUCCAUUGACUCUAUUAUGUAUAGAGGCAUGAUAGGUUCUUUGCUCUAUUUGACCACUAGUAGACCUUACAUUAUGUAUAGUGUGUGUUUGUGUACUAGAUUUCAAUCUUGUCUUAAAAAAUCUCACUUAAGUGUCGUGAAAAGAAUCCUCAAAUAUUUGAAAGGGACAAUGGACAUAGGCUUAUGGUAUCCUAAGAGUGAUAACUUUGAAUUAAUUGGUUUUUUGGAUGCUGAUUUUGUCAGUUGUAGGGUUGAAAAAUAAAACACUAGUGGCACUUUUCAUUUCUUAAGACACUUACUUGUCUCAUGGCAUAAUAAGAAGCAAAAUUUGGUAGCUUUGUCAACAGCAGAAGCUAAAUACAUAGCAACUGGUUUAUGUUGUGCACAAAUCCUUUGGAUGAAAUAAACACUUAGUGAUUUUGAUUUAUCUUUUGAGCAUAUUCCUAUUAAAUGUGAUAAUAGUAGUGCCAUAAGUAUAUCAAAAAAUCUCGUGCAACACUCUAGGACUAAGCAUAUAGAGAUUAGACAUAAUUUUCUUAGAUAUCAUACACAAAAGGAUGAUAUAACACUUGAAUUUGUAAGCAUAAAAGACCAACUUGCCGAUAUCUUUACAAAACCUCUAAGAACAUUUUGUUGAUAUUAGAGGACAAUUAGGAGUGAUUUCUUUAUGAUCUAAUGUGAUGAAUUCUUGAUGAAUAUACUUUUUGAUUGCAUGAAUUUCAUGUCAUAUAUGCAUCAUAUAGAAAUAUACUUAGAUAAUGGUCAAAUUUCGACCAAAAAUCAAAAUUCCCAUGGCAUUAGGCAUAAAAAUUUUGGAAUUUCAACUGAAAAUGGUAGGAGGAGGAUCACAAAAUGAGAAAGUAUGCAAAAAUUGAAAAAUCAAAACGUUGACCAAGCGGUCAAUCGGACUAGACCGAUCGACUAGUUUGUCGAGAUUUAGGAUUUUUAAGAGACUCCAACGCUUCAAUUUUUGCACCGUUCUCCUCUAUUUCUUCACGGUUUCUCUGAUUUUGUCUUUUAGAGACUAAUUUGAGUGCGUUUUGGAUCAAUUGAAGCAUUUUGGAUUGGAUUUUAGGAAGAUUGAAAGUUAAGGUUUCGGAUUUGGGUCGCCUUCUCUUCCUCUCGCGUGUCACAAUCAGCUUUAGCAUUGUUCUCUUUCCAUUUUCACACACCUAGGGUUUCAGUUGUGAGCAUCUCUCUCUCUUUACCAACCACUACUCCCUUGCUUCUUCCAUAUGGCUCCUAGGCGAGAGUCCGCUACUUCUAGGGCACAAGGCAAGCACCCAACUGAGUCGUCUCAGUCAAAGGCACGUCGAAAAGUGAGAUUUGACAUUGCCUUGUUCAGUUCCAUGGAGGACUACCAACUAUACAAGCAACACUUUGCUUAGAGACGAGUAGUUCCCAAGAGAAAUAUUAAUUUUCCUCAACUUCAGCAUUUCGAAUUUAAGGGUCUAUUUACUAGGAUGGUUGGUUGUCUAUUGUCACAAUUUCGGAGCCGGUUUUCCUGACCUUAGUGCGAGUUUUUUACUCGAGGGCGACUUAUGGCAUGGGUGGCAUGAUCAUUUCUACUGUUGGAGGAGUUGAGAUCUGUCUGGACCCAGAGAGCAUCUGCCAUAUUUUCGAUAUUGCUCUGGUUGGACUCAAAGUAUACAAGUCCAAAAUGUGGCCCAUUGUGCCAGGAUUUGAGCUUAGAGAGGUCAUUCAGAGGAUUUGUGAACUUCCAGACGCCCAGGAGAUGGGCAAACCAUUGCCACACAGUUUGACGGUCAUCAACAGGGUGCUACACCAUAUAUUGUGCUCUAUCUUUCUACCACGAAGUGGACAUUGAGAUGAGGUCUCUUAUUAUGAGGCAUUCCUUAUUGACUCCAUUCUAACGGAGAGACGAAUUCAUCUACUAUGUCAUCAUUCACUAAGCCUCCUCACAGUGACAUACCACCUCAUCAGGCACCUCUUGCUCCUGACCAUGCUCCAUUGAUGGAUUUAUUUACUCAUAUUAGCUCUCUAGGCACUCGCAUGAAGGAGUUUGUUGUAGUUAGUGAUACAUGGUUCUACUCCAUAGAGGAUCGCAUGGAUCAGUAUCAGACUGGCUUCACGUCACAGUUUGAGUAUCUCCAAUAGAGGAUUGAGCAUAUUGAGGAUCACUUGAGCAUGAGAAGAUGAUGGCUUUUCUAUGCUCUGUGUUUCCACCUCCACCUCGUCAACCUUGAUUUCUUAGAGACCCAUUGUUUUCAUUUUGUAAUGUUGCCAAAAGGGGGAGAUAUUUAGGAUCUAGGACUCUAUAGGAGACUUACAUGCAUAUCAUUUUCAUAUCAUUGUUUGGAUCGUACAUAUUGGAUAGUGAUACUUUUUACUUAUAUAUGAUAUGCCUAUAUGUUUCAUGUCUUACAUUGUUUCUUAUUGCAAAUUAUCUCUAACAUGUCUUGAUUAUCUUUUUUUUAACUUCAUAAAUUUUGAUUGUUAACCCAUGAUUGGUUUGAGGGGAAGAUUCUUCUUCUCCUAGAUAACCAAGGUUUGUCAUCAUAAAAAAAUUGGAGAUUGUUAGCCCAAGGGUUCUCCUAAUCAUGUUUUGAUGAUAACAAACCAUGCUUAAGUUACUAAUUGGUUUGAAUUAUAAAGAAUUUCAAGUGUUAAUUUGAAAAUUCAUCAAAGAACCUAAUGGAUGCAAGAUCAAGAUUUUUGGAAGACCUUUAAUCAUAAGAAACAUAUGUAAGAUGAAUGCAUGGGUGCACUUAAGAUUUGCAUAUCAUUUCAUGCAUAUUUGGAAAACACGGUUUAUGCUUUAAAGUUACAUUUCCAUCAAAAUUUGAGAUCCAUCAAAUGAACCUUAGGAAAAAUGUUUUAAAAUUGGCAUAUAAUUUUACCUAAAGACCUUGCCUAAGUGUUAGAAGCAAAAGGACAAAAAAAAUAUAGGUUUUCUGGUCAAAAAUGGUGAACCAGUCAAGGCAUUGUCUAAAUCAGCUCAAUCGGCCAAGGUACCGGUCGAUCGGUUUCCCUUUCCCUGUCGAGAUCUAGUCAAGAGGUACAAAAAUCACAAUCUCUGUCUCUUUCUCUCUUUGUCUAUCUUCCAGUAGUCUUUCCUUCCCGGUCGAGGGAUUUGCCUUCCCGAUUGAGGUCCGAUUGAGAGUAAUAGUCACUUGCCAAAUAUUAAAUGCUCCAACAGUUAGUGAACUGGUCGACCCCCACCUUGCCCAGUUGAGGUUACUUUUUGGUUUUCUUGGCUCCCGAUGUUAGAAACCUAUAAAUAGAGAGUUCCACUUCAUUUAUGAGCAAGAGAACACUUGCAUUUAUUUGUUUACCUACUUGUUCUUGCCUUAAAAGCUCUCAUUUCUUUUCUUGGUGCAUUAAAUCUCCAUUUUGAUAUCCUUUAGUGCACCUUUGUGAUUCAUCUUAGCCUUGAGUUGUAUUUGAGCCCUUUUUUUAGCUAGGUUGAGAGUUUCAUACUUGUUAAUUGAGUGUUAAAGCCUUCAAGUGAGUUGAAACUUGUAGAGAUUAUGUGAGAGUCGAUUGGAGCCGAAAUCCAAGUGUAAAGGUGAUUAGAAGCUUGGUUGAAGCUUCAAGUUAGUGGAAUCCUCACUCAAUUAGGAGCUUGAGGAGAGUGGACGUAGCCAAGGAAGUGUCGAACCACUAUAAAAUUUGAGUUUGAUUUCUCUAACAUUGUCUCUUUAUAUUUGUUUAUCUUGUGCUUAAAUUUAUUGUGUUUAAAAAGAAUUUUUAAAUACCCAAUUCACCCCCCUCUUGGGUGUUUUUCUCUUUUAAAAUUAGCCUUUAUUUUCUCACAAACUAUUGUAGUAUAGUGGUUUUUAGGUGUCAUCCAUUAGGAUGAAUUGUUCUCGGUAAUUAAGGCGUGAAUGAGAGGAGAAUUAAUGAUUGUGAUUAAGUAAAAUUGAUUUGAAAAUUCAUGGUGAAAAAUCAAUUUAACAAUGGUUUCUAAUUGAGAAAAACAAUGAAAUGUGAAAUAAAAUAAAAUUAAUAGGAAAUGAAAUUCUCGAAGUUAGAAUUUUCUAAAAAACAAAUUCCAUGGUGAAUGGAUGUUGAGAUCUAAUUUUCAUCAAGUUAGAUUGAAAACCGAAAUUUUCAUAUAAACUGAUUUUUUAUUUAGUUUUAGGUCUAGAUUUAAUUUCCCUUAAAAUUAGGUUAUUUAAUCCAAGAAAUCAAUUCAAAUCAUAUAUUCAAUUCAUCUUAAAUUAUCUUCCAAUUAUUCACACAAUGCAACUAUUCAAUCUCAUCAAAUCUAGCUUUUAAGAAUUUAAUGAAUCUACCUAGUUUGCAUUGUAAUAGUCAUCCAUGACAAUUUGAAGAGAAAAAUAAUUCAAUUAAUCAAUCACUUGGAUCAAAUUACCUUUGCAAUUAAAGUUCAUUUCUCUAAUUCACCACAGAUUUUGUCUCUAGAUCCUCCUUUCUCAAAGAAAAAUGAGAUUUAGCCACACAUGAUUGGAGAUUUGGUCUCAUAAGGCAUGUUUAGCUAGUGAUAAAAUGAGAGAAAAUAAAGAAAAAUAGAGAAUUCGAUUAAGAAAGAAAAUCUAAAAAAUUCUACAAUUAGAAAUGUCCAAAAAGCUUUUUCAUGAGAAAAUCAAGUUUCUAUUUAUAGGCCAAGGUCAAGUGGACACUUGACAUCAUCUAAGAGGUCUUCCGGAAGCUUCUUCAUCAAGAAAUCUGGAGUUUAAUAAUAAAAUGGUCAUUUCACAAGAGCUCAAACAAUUUCGCAUGAUUAUGUGAAAUAAAAAAUGCAACAACAGCAAUUUACAUCUUCUUGGAGCAUUUCGCAUGACUGUGUGAAAUUUUCACAUGAUCAUGUGGAAUCGACUUGACAACUCUCAUUUAGCCUACAACAUAAUUCCACCUUUUGGUCCAUUUUUCAUAGUCAUGCGAAAUGGAAAUAUUUGAUUUUUAAGUUUUCUUUUGUCAUUUCUUUCAUUUCCUUCUCUUGAUUCCACUUCAACUACCUCCGAAUCCUGGUCCAAACCAAUUGCAUUACUUCUUUCAUUAUGCAUUUGGAUCAUCAUCAACAUUAUUUGUUCUCUUCAAUUUGAUUCAUCUCUUUUGUCACCAAUUUAUCAAAAUCAUACCUUGAAAUGACUCCAAAACUUCAUAAAACUUGUUAGUAACUCUUGCAAGGGCAACAACAUAUUAAUUAAGUGUUUUAGGCAUAGUUACUACUCAAAAGAUGCGAAACUCAUGAUAAUUAUUAUAUAAAAUAUGCUCUUUUUGAGUAGUAAUCAACUUUCUUGCAUAAGCAGACCUUUUAGGGUGGAGUACUAAAGACCAAUAUGCUUGUCCUUGUUGUAAUAAAGAAACUUGCUCUUAUUGAUUGCACCAUGGGAGAAAAUUUUGCUACAUGAGUUAUCAUCAAUUUCUUCCCACCAAUCAUAGAUUUAGACGUGACAAGAGGCCUCUUAAUGGCAAGGAGGAACUGACACUCACACUUAUACAAUUAUCGGGCAUUGAUGUGUUGCAACAAUUAGAAUAACUUACACCAAUUAUGUUGGGGAAGUCACAAAAGGCAAACAUGAAAACUAAAAGGAAAAAAGAAAAAUGUUACAUAUCACCACAACUGGAAAGAAAAAAGUAUUUACUUUCAUUUGCCAUAUUGGAAAGCACUUAUUUUACAUCAUAAUAAUUUAGACAUAAUGCAUAUUGAGAAAAAUGUGUGACAAUAUAAUUGAGACAUUGUUCAGUAUUGACGAAGAAACAAGGACAACCUAAAUAGUCAUCUCGAUUUACAAGCUCUAACUAUUAGAAAUGAGAUUCACCCAAUAGAAAGCAGGACCAAAUUUAUUUUGCUUGCAACAUGCUACUCACUCACCCCAAAUGAGAUUAAGGAAUUUUGCAAGUUUUUGAAAUCAAUAAAGGUCCCCAAUGGCUAUUCUUUCAAUAUCUCUCGUUAUGUGCAACUCAAUGAAAGGAAGAUAUAUGAGCUCAAAUUGUAUGAUUGUCAUGUCCUAAUGCAACAACUUCUCUCACUUGUAGUUCGUGGAGUUCUACAUAAGAAUGUUUGUGGAGUUAUCAUAGAAUUGCGUAAUUUUUUCAAGCAAUUGUGCUCAAAGGUGUUAGAAACAAAUCACUUACACCAACUUGAGAACAAUAUUAUUGUCAUACUAUGUAAAAUGGAGCAAAUAUUUCUUCCAUCAUUCUUUGAUAUUAUGGUGCAUUUACUUGUGCAUCUAGUAAGGCAAAGGUUGCAAGACUUGUGCAAUAUUGUUGGAUGUACCUAAUUGAACGAUAUUGUUAUAAUUUCAUAUGAAUCAUUUAAUUUUAUUUUAUAUUAUGUUCAGUUCAUUAACAUGUACAUUGGUCUACAUAUGGAUGAUGAUAGGUACCUAAGCACUUUAAAGUCAUAUGUGCGUAAUAGAACUUUUCUAGAAGGUUCUAUUGUAGAAAGGUACCUUGCAAAAGAAUGUACAACAUUUUAUUCUAGGUACUUGAAUGAUGUGGAAAUAAAGUAUAAUCACAAUGAUAGAAACUUUGUUGGUUUCAACACUAGAGGAGAUGAAAGGGGUUAUCUUUAAACAUAUUGGACAUGCAUUGGGAAAGCCCAUAUUUCAUUAACUUAGUUCAAAAGAGUGGUCACAAGCACAUUUAUAUGUGUUGACAAAUUGCGAAGAUGUCAUACCAUUCAUUGAGUAAAAAAUUUAUUUGAAUUUUAAUUAAAGCUCUAGUUUAUAUCCUUAAUCAAUGUUUUUUAAAUUCACAAGGAGCACAAGCAAACCAUCAAGGCUAGACCACAUAUACGUGUUUGAGACGUAGAUUUAAUUCAUAACAAGGAAUUUAUCAAGUGGUUUGAAAGACAUGUAAGUAUAUUCCUUAUUAUAAGGGAUUUAUUUCACAUUAUGUUUAUAUUGAAUCCAAACCUAUUAUUGAAUUGUAGGUUGAACAAUUACAUAAUGAAGGUCAUAUAUCUGAACACCUUCUCACAUUAUCAUGUGUUCCAAAUUCAUUAGUUACAUGCUUCAAAUGAUAUAUUGUCAAUGGAUUUAGAUCCCACAUUAAAGAACGUGAUAAAAAAGUUUUUAAAAAAAGACUCAGAAUAAUGGAAUUGUUGUAGUUGCAAAAACGUCAAGCUUUACAAGUGCAUGUGAUAUGAGUCCAAUUAUUAGUGAUGCUCUCUACUAUGGUGUUCUAACUAAAGUUGUUGAGUUACAUUAUCUUGGUGAAAAUAAGGUUGUUUUAUUCGAGUUUGAUUGGUGGGAUGUUACAAAUAUUGGAAAAUUGAUAAAAGAUGAUGAGUACAAUUACACAUUUGUUAACUUUGCAUGAAUUCUAACCACGAACGAACGAUUUGUACUUGCAUCUCCAGCAAAGUAAGUGUUCUAUGUGAAGAAUGCGAAUGAAUCAGAUUGGCAUACUAUCAUGGAGAUGCAACCUCAAGACCUCUAUAAGAUGAACGGGAUAGGAUCCAAUGGUGAUUUUGAACCAUUUCAACAAAGUGAACUACAUGAUCACUAAUAUAUCUCAGAUUUAGUUGAUGAAGAUAUAAUCAAGUGGAACAAAAGUGAUGUUUUAGGACUAAUCAUCCUAAAAAAUAUUGUAGUUUCUUAAAAAAAAAAUGAAAAUGAAGAAGAUAAUUGAACCUUUGUCAUACUUUAAAAAGCAACUAUGCAUUGUUCAUUUUGUAUGUUUUGGUUUUCUUCAUUUAAUUUCCUGAUUUUUGUGAUUCAAUGUCAUAUUAUUGAUCUUGAAAUAUUUUUCUAAUUUUUCAUUCUACGAUGGUUUCAACAAGGAUGACAUCAAGUCAAAAAAGGAAAUGUGGUCCCACACACAAUAUUGCAUUACAGGGAUUAAGGUCAGGGAAGAAGGUAAAAGUUGCAUUUAAUGAGUACAAUCAAUUGGUUAAACAGAAAAAUGGAAAACACUUAUCGAGCUACAUAGGGACACUUGUAUCUAACCAACACAAUGUACCUCUCCAAGCUAGUGAUUGGAAAAAUGUUCCAAAUGAUGCAAAAGAGAAAGUAUGGCCUUUGUUUUGGUAUGUUGUAUUUCUCACUAUAUGAUGUCAUUUCACUGUUAUUCUAUUUUGUGACUAACGUUUGAAUCAUAUGUAAGAAAAAUUUGAAGUAGAUAAAGACUGAAAAGAUUACAUGUUGGGUAUAGCCUCAAAUAAAUAUAGAAGCUAUAAAAAUAUGAUGAAUGCAAAAUACUAUGACCCUUGGCAUAAGGAUGCAUGAGGAGAGGUUAAUACAUAAAUCACCAUUUGUCUCUGAUGUUGAUUGGAAGUGGCUUGUCUCUGAUGCAUAAACCAAAUCCCCCACUGAAUGUUUGAUAUUUGAUAGCAGGAAAAACACACCCGCAGCUAUACACCUCCAUCAUUCAGAUAAUUAUAGUGGGGGAGAUGAUUCAUGGUUGCCCUUAUACCCUUUAUUUGCACCAUCUAUUGAGAUUCUUUAUCAUGGCCAGGUUUUACUGCAGCAAUAAGAUAUGGUGGCAACAAUUUUAUCUAUAGGUGCGGUUCCAGACCGCCUCCAUAGGUGCGGUUCCUGACUGCCUCCAUAGGUGCCUCUUCUUGUAAUGUUUGUUCUGGGAAUUACACUUGAAAGCCUUAUCGUGAUAAGGGAUUACAAACACUAGUUCAGAGGACAGCCAUGUUAAACUUCCACUAUGUUUGUGUCACAUUAUCAGCAGCCUAGUGUUUAUUGGUCAUGCUAUCUGCAACUAAUAUAACCCGGUGAACUUCAAUCUAAAUUCUGAAAGUACUCAUGUGACAGAUGGUGCCUUUCAGCAGAUAUCAUCAAUUUAAAAGUAGUGUGUGUGCCUAUAGGUGGGAAGGCCUUGGCAAAUGUUCAGUAUUCCGGUAAUUCAAGAAGGAUAUAUCUAAAAUAGAUUUUCUUCUUGCCCAUUUCAAUAGUUAAAAUUUGAGAAGAUUGUGUCCACAUCACACAAAUAUUAUUGGUCCUUCUGUUGCAAUUUACCUCUGAACAUGUCUUCCAAUUCCCACGGUCCUGUUACUCCAGGAAAACUAUUUCGGUCAUAUUGAAAAAAAAAAUAUUAAAGAAGGUACACAUGCUUUUAAGUGGACUGGGGCAUUCAUAUCAGGUGGUCUGUAUCCACAUAUGCCACUUCGUGAAAGGUGGAACAGCCUAAUCACUAGGCUAUUUAGUGUGGCCCAGCCACGUUAAUCAAGCACAAGUCUUCAUACUUAAAGUCAAAUGGUGUCUUUAGUCUCAUUACACAUCGCUAUUUGAAGAUUAACUCAUCACUAGUGUAAUGCGAUUAAGACAGUCCUAACUCAAUAUUUGUUCUAGUUUUGGAUGCAAAUGCUUGCUGGUUUCAUCAUUGGAUGGGAUAAAGGUGCAAUCAGGACUAUGAAUACGUGCAGUAAUACUUCAUUCUCUUUUUUCUCAAUGAGACUUCUUGGCACAAUUUUGCUGCUCAGCAACCUACCUUUCCAUGGAAAAUCAGUUGUGACUGAUAGUAAUGGAUAUAUUCUAGAAAGCUAAACAUAGAUAGCAUUCAAUAUUAUCGAUAUAACAUUAACAGCGUAUGUCUCAAUGCUCAUCAGCUACAAGCAAUGGACAAACACUUUGAGUAACUCACAGCAGUCAAAAUUCCUAAACAGGACAGACGUGACAGAUCUAUAUAUAGAACACUGCAUAUGAGUCACAGGAAAAGAUAAUACGGGUACAUAGAAGCUCUUAUUUUACAUAUUACUCAUACUGAUCAAAGUCGCUCAGUUGGGAUGGAUGGGAGAAGGAGGUUUGAGGGGUGGCUUGUGCGGGGAAGUUGGCAGCUUCUUUCCGGGAGCUGGUUGCUUCUUUGCUGGAGUUGAAGGAGGCUUAAUCUUCCGAGGUGGCUUGUAUGAGUCUUCAGCAUUCUCAGCAGGAGGGUGACCAGGGUUGUGACCAUAAUGUGGUGGCUUCUCUCCCUUAGGUGGUUUGCCAACUGGGGUUGGUGGCUUGUUUUCUGGGAGUGGCUUCUCUCCCUUGGGUGGUUUGCCAACUGGGGUUGGUGGCUUGUGUUCUGGGAGUGGCUUCUCCCCCUUGGGAGGUUUUUCGAAUGGGGUGGGUUUGUGUCCUGGUGGUGGCUUCUCUCCCUUGGGAGGUUUACCAAUUGGGGUCGGUGGCUUGUGUUCUGGGAGGGGCUUCUCUCCCUGGGGAGGUUUAGUGGGUGGCUUGUGUUCUGGAGGUGGCUUCUCCACCGGAGGCUUAUGCUCUGGUGGUGGCUUCUCGAAGGGGGGAUGCUCAGGGUAAUCACCAAGUGAGGGGGUGGUGAGAACCACCAUGCCAAGCAACAACACUAGCAAGUAUGUAGUAGACAUCUUUGGGUUUGGACUCAGACAGUGCAAAACUACGAGAAAUCGCUAGCCCUUUAUAGCGGCUCGGACCUAAUACUGACAUAAUAUAAAAUAAAUAUUAUAUUUUAUCAAGAGAGAACAGAGUGUAAUUUUAUCAUUAAUACCGAUCGAGGCCAAAGAAAGAAGACCCAUAAUCCAUUUCCCACAAGCAUACACAAUGCAGCUGUAAUUUUAUCAUUUACUUUUAUCCCUUGGACCACUGCAUUUUUGUUGAGAGACACAAUAACACAUUUUUAUCUGUCAUUCAACAUUUACAGUAAAGAGAGGGCACAAAACGCAAUUAGAUAAAUUAUGUUUUGCCUGCUAAAAAGAGGCAAAUAACUUUAUUUGCAACAUAAUUAUUUUGGUUUCUAGUGACCCCGGGGCCUUUCGGUUGGUUUGGGAUCGGAAAAUGAACAUCAUAGGGGGGGUUGUGCCCUUAUGGGCAUAUAUAUCUGAUAGCUUCAACUGGCCUUGUUCCUAGAAAGAAAUUGCCAAAGAUAUAAACUUAUUCCAGGCUGAAAGUAGAUGAGAGUCAUAAUGAACAUCAACCUUUGUUCAGUUUGAUUCAAUGCCCCCAUAGUGUUCAUUUCACAGAUCUGAAUGAUUAUAUCCGUUGAAUACAUAAAUUAAUGAAGACAAAUAUGAAACCCAAGAUACAUCUCUGCAUAACAACCCCAACCCUGGUUGCUAUGUUUCCCUUCUUCUAUUCACAUGAGGAUACUGGUUAUAAUUGUCAAACUUGCAACAAGCCCUUUGACACCUAACGUCAAUGGACGAAUUAAAAGUCUCCUUCAAACGUCUAUUUCACAGCAUGAAGCUUAUAAAGGAUGCUGACAACCUUCAGAGUUAGCGACAAAAGAUAAUUAUCAAGGAGAGAUAGUUCCAUGAGAAUUCCAAGGAGUCUGAAUCAAAGACAAAUUGCUCACUCAAGGGUUCUUAUUUUCUUUUAGGUACAAAUCUCUUGAGUGUUGUUAAAGAAACACGUCACUGUCAUUUUGAUUUGCAUUUAACAUUUCACUUUUGUUCUGGAAGGUUUGUUCCGGAAACAUAUCAAAUGAGCAUCAUUUUCUUCUUCGGUGACACAUGGUCGCGAGUACGUGGGUCCAUUUUCAUGCCACUUAGUUGAAAAGUUGGAAAGAAAAAACAUGCCAACAAGAAGAUAGUGAGAGAAGGGGCACUUCAAGCCUUUAACAUGAACAAACAGUAAAUAAAAGAUGUUUCUCCACUCAUAAAAGUGUGUUAGAUAGCAAUAUAACGAAUCACAUCCAAAAUCUUUACUAGGCUCAAACAUAAAGAAGACUCAUUUUUAAGAAAAGAUAAAAAUGGCAUUGUCUGAUAGUAUCCAAUACACGAGAUGGCACUUAAUUUGUACAAGAUCUGUCAAUGCUGACGCACAUUUUCUGAUUAAAAAAAAACUGAUCAGUCAAAAGCAAUGAAGAGAAGUGAUGACAAUGAAUGAUGCUUCCAAUAUUUUCACCCCUUAUAGUGUUCUUCAUGAUUCAGAUAUAUAAUUGGAAAUAGAACAACCCUAUGCCAUACAUUCGUCUAAGUAUGGUGUCUAAUUUUUUGUGUCAGCGGUUGCGAAUGGAGCGUGCAAAAGUCCAAAUUGGCGUCUCUCCAUUUCCACAUAGGAAGGUGACCUUUAUUGACAAAUACCCAAUAUUUGUAGACAUUCCUUAAAUAUCAUAACUUCUUGUUGAUUUGAAAAUCAUUUUUCAACUACCAUGUUUUAAUAAAUAUUUUUUAAAAUGUAUUUUUAUCAAAGUCCACCAUGAUGGAUAAUAUUCACCAUGCAAUAAUUAAUAAAGUACAAACUAAGCGAAAUGAAAAGCAUUUUCUUUGCUUUGAGUUGAUUUUGGUUGCAUUGAGUUGAUUUUGGUUUCAUGGUUUUUUCAACUCUUAUUUUGAUUGGAAGAUGUCAAGAAAAGAAAACAUAAAGAAAAAUUAAAAGGGAAAAAAGAAGAAAAAUAAAAAAAAAUAGAUUUAAAAGUUAAUAAAUUAUUUUUUAUAUUUAUUUUAAUUCAUUUCACUUAUUUUUCUUUUACUAUAUAAAAUUUAAAUAAUUUAAAUUUUAUAAUUAAUUUAAUUACAUUUCAUUUUCUUCUAUAUUUAAAUAUUGGAAAAAUAUUUUACUUAAUAUUUUUUUCUUUAAUUUCUUUGGCAUUUUGGGAACCAAACUUAGCCUUUAAAAUAAAAAACAAAAAAAAAAUGAAAAUAAGGAGGGAAAAGUGAGAAAAGAUAAAAACAAUAUGUAAAGGAUUUGAAAAGUAUUAGUUUGUAAUUACUAUUUGGAUUUCAAUAGUAUUUUAUUUGUCUUUCUAUAUUUCAUGUAAGAGAGAAUUUAAGAUAUUCCCCAAGGCAAAGCAUUAGUUACCUGCAAUCAGUGGUGAUAAGGCUCCAAGCCAAUUUUGGGCCCCAUAUCUUAAGACAGUACAAUUUCCAUUUCAACAUUUCUGAUUUCUCAGAUGUUUCACAUACCACAGAAGAACAUUGUUUGUGAAAAUAUGCAUUUAUGUUGGAUUUUGUAUGCUGUGGGGACUGGGGCAAGGAUCAUAUGGAAGAGUGGUUGACUUUUUCUGUACUUUAACGGUUGAAAUAGGAUAAGCACGGGCAUUUGUGAGGCUUAAUUGAUUUUGAAGCCUGAAAUUGCGUUUCUGUCAUUUUGUCAAAAAAAUGGCAGAUUCCAUACUCAUAUGUUUGGCCUGUGGCCAUGUACAGAUGCCAUUUAGUGACCAGUUUGUAACUGUCAAUCGUUGCGUUUUGACUCUGCCUCAACAACAUCUGCCAUUGACGGGUUUUCAUACUUGCAAAUCAAAUAGUCUUUCGUCCCAUCAGGAAUUUCGGUUUAAAUAUUAUUAAGCAUACGUUUGGCUGACAAUCAUUAUCCAGUUCAUGAUUUGGUUUCUUACCCUUAAUCAAUGGUUUCUAAGUGAAUAUAUGUAGAAGGAAAUCCGAAGUGUAGACAGUAGUAUCGAUAACUCUCAAUAUUCUCUAUAUAAUAGAAUAAACAGCGUCAUAGUGAUCGUCGCCUACAAGCAAGGUACAAAUACCAAAACGAGUGACUCACAUAGACAUCUCCCAACAAGAUGUAGUAGUGACUGACACAUGGACACAAUUAACUCGUAGAAAAGGAUAAGACCAUUGCACAGCAGCUCUUAUUUUACAUACUACUUAUGCUAACCAAAGUCAAUUAGUUGGGAUGGGUGGGAGAUGGAGGUUUGUGCGGUGGCUUGUGGGGCGGAGUUGAUGGCUUCUUUCCAGGAGCUUCUGGCUUUUUCAUCGGAGCUGAAGGAGGCUCAAUCUUAUGAGGCGGCUUGUAUGAGUCUUCUUUACUCUCGACAGGAGGGUGGCCAGGGUUGUGAUCAUAAUGUGGUGGCUUCUCUCCCUUAGGUGGCUUGCCAACUGGGGUUGGUGGCUUGUGUUCAGGAAGUGGUUUCUCUCCCAUGGGAGGUUUAGCAAUUGGGGUUGGUGGCUUGUGUUCUGGGAGUGGCUUCUCUCCCUUGGGAGGUUUAGUAGGUGACUUGUGUUCUGGAGGUGGCUUCUCCACCGGAGGCUUGUGCUCCGGUGGUGGCUUCUUGGUUGGAGGGGGCUUGGGGUAAUCAGCAAGAGAUGGGGUGGUGAGAACCACCAGUCCAAGGAACAACACUAGCAAGUAUGUGGGAGACAUUUUUGAGUUUGGGCUGAUCAGAUGAUGCAAAACUAAAGCAUUACGUGACCUUUUAUAGCAUGUAGCUCCCAAUACCCACUAAGUAUUGUGGGGUCCAUUUGUGCCCUACGGGGUUGAAAACUUAGACAAUUGGGCAAGGACCCACCUGACUAUGGAGGACUAGUGAGGUGUGAUCAUAGCUUUAGGAUUUUUCUUCCUCUGCAGCCGUCGUGCCGUUGGCAUGAUUUUCUUAAUCUUAAAUAAAGGCAUAGUUAUAGAGUUGUUUAAUCUCUAAAUGGGAUUUUAUAUAUAUCUUCAGAUAGCCAUUAAUAUAUUUGAUGAAGAAAGAAAGACAAGUGCAUACAACAUGUAUACGACUAGCUUUCAUGGAGUUCAUUUAUGAUCAGUUUUCCUGUACAUGUAAACCAGGAUCAUAUAUAUGUUUCUGUUCCACAACUAUUUUGGAAUCUUGUUUAUCAGUUUUUAUCAUUAUAAUGUCACAUAGGCUGCCAACUUGGGCGCUAAAAGAACCAGUUGGGCUAGUUCGUUUCAGAAUUUCAAUGUGGAUUCAGGAAUUGUUUUGUAAGAUAUGCGAAAUAGUAGAGGGAUGAAUAGUGUUUCAUUAAUAAAAGUGUCCUGUAAAUUAGAAGGUGUCAUAGAAACUAUAAUCAAUAAAUAACUUUUUUUCCCCACGGGUGGUGUUUCUUGUGGGGAUCAGUGACUGGUUUAGGUUCACCCAAAAUGAGUUCAGACUAAAAUUGGUUUGAGUCAAUGCCGUGUCUCUUUUUUCCAGAAAUCAACUAUUUUAUGCAUUGAAUAAAUCAUACAAAGAAAAUAUGAACGCCCGCAAAACCUAAACCCUGGUUGCUAACUUUCUAUGUUUCAGUUCUAUUCACGCAAGAAUAUUAGUUUAAGUUUGGGAAAAAUGGCAACUUACCUAGUGAUUACUUGGUUUUGGUUUGCGACUAUUUACGCAACCAACCAUGAGUUUGACUUUAACGUCAUGGGUUGAAGCCUCCUACAGGAAGGGAGAAAGCUCCACAGCUAGCUCCAAAAGAGAAUUAUCACAUUGAUAGCUCCAGAGAUUCCCAAGGGGACUGAAUCAAAGACAAGUUCCUCACUUUUUCUUCUUUUGAGGCCAAAUAUGAACCAAGGAUCACACAACCUCAUUCAACUUCAUAAGUUUGAUUUCAUGCAGUUGAACACUGGGUGAAGGCCAUGACAAGAAUUGAUUCAAAAAUUCUAUCACUCUUUUAAGUAAUGGAAGAUUAUUAUCUCUGAUUGGCAUCACAACAGCACAUGCUCCUAGAUCUUUCUAGACACUCCAUGCAAUGAAAGCACAAUGGAUCUUGUAACGAUAGAAACUAAGCCAUGCUACAGUACUAGAUGAUGAGGUAAAACUAGUAGACACGGGUGGCAGCCUAUAUGGGAGGGACACAAGUCUAAUUGAUUUGCAUUUCAGCAUUAUAGAUAGGUAUGUUUUGGAAGAUUUGUUCUGGAAAUACCGCACCAAGUAGGAUUCUUUUUCUCUUUAGUGGGUCCACUUGCAUGCCAAUUAACGAGUUGAAAAGUAUGAGCACCUACCUCGUGCUCGUGGAACCGAAGGUCAGUGAAGUGGGGCUCCUUUUGGCCUCGUGUAAACUUGAUUCAGAAGUGAAGUUAAUAGUCUUCCAUUCAGAUGGAUACAUGGGAAUUUUUCUCUUUUAUUUAUUUAUUUAUUUUUUUUUUGUGUGUGUAUGUCAAAGGAUAAUGAAUGAAGCGCGUUAGCUUGUUUUCUGACUGGAACCGCAGAUGUCCAAAUUGGAGUUCCUUCAUUUCUUACUUAGGAUUGUUACAUGUAUAAACAAGGUAUAAGAAAUAUGCCAACGUGUCUUGAGGAGUUAUUGAUUAGAAAUAACAAGUCACCCGACUGUAGAGUUCCAAGAUUUGAAUCUUCAGACCCUAUAGCAGCCUCUGGGGUACGUGGCAUCCUAUAGCAUAUUAAUGAAGGCUUUUUCGAUUUAGACUUCACAAUACCAAUUAAUAUGUAUGCACAAAAUGGAGAUGACCCCAAAAAAAACAGAAUCGCCAUAGUUUAUGAGGUUAAGGUGAUUCUCCACUUAAUAUCUACAUUAGCUAAUUAUGUAAAUCAAAUGAACUUCUAUUUUUCCUUUUUUUUUUUGGUUUAUGUCAAAUAGUAGCCCAUAAUUAACCCAACCAUUAGCCUGUUUGAAUUGAUUUCACAUGCACAAUGUUGUAGUAGUUCAUAUUUUGAAUUUUAUUUUUACAAAGGUAGUUAAGGAAAAUGAAGUAUAAUAAUUAUAAAAGCAGACUAUAUACACUACAAUAAUUGUUAGAAUGGUAUCUCAAAUUCUAAUUUAAAAUAUUAUUUUUUGUAAAAGAAAUAUUAUAUAGAAUAUUUCCUAAUUUUAUAAAUGAUUAUAAUUAGAUCUUUAUAAAAUAAGGAAAGUUGGUAAGAAUAUCUUUAUAAAUAUUUUAGGUCAUGAGAGAAAGAAAUGGGAUAAAAAUGUGAUGAAGAGGUGAAAUAAGAGAGUUGAUUAGGAUAUAGAUGUGAAGAAGAAAGGGAUUCAAUAUAUAUAUAUCUUUCAAUUACCACAUUAAAACCCUGUGAACCUUUUAUAUGGUUUACUUUAUUUUUAUAUUCCUCCUUUAAUAUAUUUACAUUAAUGCUUCCAUUGGCACAACAAUAACGAAUUACAAAUACAAGCAACAAGUCCCAUGUUUUAUUACCAAAAGCAGGUAAAAUCCACCUAAUAUAUUACAAUAUAUUCAUCCAAUAUUUUAGACCAAUUCUUCACCAUAAAUAUCAUAAUGUGGCUUUUGUUCUUUCUUAAAUUUAAAUUGAAUUGUCUUAUAUCAAUUUGUUUGUGAUUUUUUCAUUAACUUCACUUUCAUUUGGUUAUCUUUGGUUUUUGAAAAGUAUUAAGGAAUUAAUUAACAAAAUAAUGUUAAGAAAAAUAAUUUUCUCUCUUUUGAUUUUGAUUUUGUAGUAGAAAAAUAUAAUUAAAAUUAUUUAAAAAGUAUGUAAUUUUAAAUUAUUUAAUAUUUAGAUAAAAAAAAUAAGUCUAAUGAGUUUAAAAUAACAUAUAAAAAUAAUUUAUUUAUUUUAAAUUUAUUUUUUAUUUUCCAUUAUGUUCUCUUUCUCUUUUACUUUUUCAUAUUUUUUCUUACGAAGAAUCAAACACAACCUCAUAUUAUAUGUCAAGUGUUUGUCUAUAUUUGAGCAAUGUUAGAUACGGCCAUGGAUUCAUCAAACUAAACUGAUUUUAAUAGAUACUUCACAAAUUGAUUUAUACACUAAAUCAUUGGAUAGCAAUGAUGCAUUGGAAUUAAACGUAGGAUGAAGCUCGAAGAACACUGUUUGUGUAACAACAUAUUUAUGAAAUUAUGCAAAGGAUGAGCUUCGGGGUAGUAGUACAAGGUCAUUAAUGGAGAGCCGUGUUAAACCUUGAUUGUGAUUGGAUUCCGUUAUCAGCAACAGCAACCUUGUUUGUAACCUUGAAAGUCAUUCUGUCCACAUCGAAACUCCAAUUUGACGUUUGUAAUUACCAUUCCUGGAGUGUUCCUUGAUUGAAAUUUAAAUAAUAAUUGCGGCCCACAAGGAAUAUUUUCGAUUCUGUGGGAAUUUGACAAGGUUUGUUAGAGAAGACUGGUGACAUGUUGACUUCAAUGGUUCAAAUAGGAGACGUAUGUGGAUUUGGGGGGUUUAAUUGAAACUGAGUCCCUAUGGCUUUUUAAUAUUUGCAUUGAGCAGUCUCCAUGUGACUUCCUAAUUCCCACCAACCCUCCUGUCCAUGCUGUGAAACUAAAUUGUAAUUUAUCAGCCUUUGUCAAUGGUUUCUAAAUUAAAGAUAUAGACCAUGCAUGUACUUUAAUAAAAGCAAAUCUAAAGUGUAGAUAGCAGCAAUGGUGACACCCAAUAUUCUCCAUAAAAUAGAAUUAGAAUAAGCAGUGUUACAUUGUUCAUGAUCACCUACAAGCAUACAAGAACUUCCAUGAAUAACUCAUAGCAAUUGCCAACAGGGCGUCGUAGAGACUCAUACAUAGAACACUAUCCACCCAGAGGAAAGGACAAGACCAGUGCGCUGCAGCUCUUAUUUUUCACAUGUAUACCACCACUCGUAAUAACCAAAUUCACUCAGUUGGGAUAGGUGGGAGAUGGUGGUUUGUGGGGUGGCUUGUGGGGAGGAGUUGGAGGAGGCUUUAUUUUCUGAGGCGGCUUGUAUGAGUGUGCAGGAGGAUGCCCGGGAGUGUGACCAUAAUGUGGUGGCUUCUCUCCCGUAGGUGGUUUGCCAAAUGGGCUUGGUGGCUUCUCUCCCUUAGGAGGUUUACCAAUUGGGGUUGGUGGCUUGUGUUCUGGGAGUGGUUUCUCUCCCUUGGUAGGUUUGCCAAUUGGGGUUGGCGGCUUAUGUUCUGGGAGUGGCUUCUCUCCCUUGGGAGGUUUGCUAAUUGGGGUUGGCGGCUUAUGUUCUGGGGGCGGCUUCUCUCCCUUGGGAGGUUUGCCAAUUGGAGUUGGCGGCUUAUGUUCUGGGAGUGGCUUUUCUCCCUUGGGAGGCUUGCCAAUUGGGGUUGGCGGCUUAUGUUCUGGGGGUGGCUUCUCUCCUUUAGGAGGUUUGCCAAUUGGAGUCGGCGGCUUAUGUUCUGGAAGUGGCUUUUUUCCCUUGGGAGGUUUGCCAAUUGGGGUUGGCGGCUUAUGUUCUGGGGGUGGCUUCUCUCCCUUGGGAGGUUUGCCAAUUGGAGUCGGCGGCUUAUGUUCUGGGAGUGGCUUCUCUCCCUUGGGAGGUUUUGUUGGUGGCUUGUGUUCUGGAGAUGGCUUCUCCCCUGGAGGCUUGUGCUCCGGAGGUGGCUUCUGAAAUGGCGGGGGCUUGGGGUAAUGAGCAAGAGAUGGAGUACUG
rnacentral:lncRNA from 1 species